CUAAGGUAGCGAAAUUCCUUGUCGGGUAAGUUCCGACCUGCACGAAUGGCGUAACGACUUCCCCGCUGUCUCCAAUGCAGACUCAGCGAAAUUGAAUUGCCUGUCAAGAUGCAGGCUUCCCGCGGUUAGACGGAAAGACCCCGUGCACCUUCACUACAGCUUCGCAUUGGCAUCAGGCACAACAUGUGCAGGAUAGGUGGUAGGCUUCGAAGCAGGGACGCCAGUCCCUGUGGAGCCUCCCUUGAGAUACCACCCUUGCUCUGCUUGAAGUCUAACCGCGGCCCGUUAUCCGGGUCCGGGACCCUGCGUGGUGGGUAGUUUGACUGGGGCGGUCGCCUCC
rnacentral:rRNA from 1 species